rnacentral:rRNA from 1 species
GACAGAGGUGCCAAGCGUUAGGCGGAAUCACUGGGCUUAAAGCGUGUGUAGGCGGACCGUUAAGUGCCUUGUGAAAUCCCAUGGCUCAACCAUGGAACUGCUGGGCAUACUGGCGGUCUUGAGUCACCCAGGGGUUGCCGGAACAAAUGGUGGAGCGGUGAAAUGCGUAGAUAUCAUUUGGAACGCCAAUGGCGAAAGCAGGCAACUGGGGGGUGAUCUGACGCUGAGACACGAAAGCCAGGGGAGCGAACGGG